rnacentral:rRNA from 1 species
CAGCAGCCGCGGGAAAACGUAGGGCGCAAGCGUUGUCCGGAAUUAUUGGGCGUAAAGAGCUCGUAGGCGGUCUGUCGCGUCUGGUGUGAAAUCCCGAGGCUCAACCUCGGGCUUGCAUCGGGUACGGGCAGACUAGAGUGCGGUAGGGGAGACUGGAAUUCCUGGUGUAGCGGUGGAAUGCGCAGAUAUCAGGAGGAACACCGAUGGCGAAGGCAGGUCUCUGGGCCGCAACUGACGCUGAGGAGCGAAAGCAUGGGGAGCGAACAGGAUUAGAUACCCCCGUAGUCCCUGUCUCUUAUAC